rnacentral:rRNA from 1 species
UACGUAGGGGGCAAGCGUUGUCCGGAAUUAUUGGGCGUAAAGAGCGUGUAGGCGGUCCGAUAAGUCGGCUGUGAAAGUCAGGGGCUCAACCCUUGGAAGCCGGCCGAUACUGGCAGGCUUGAAUUCGGGAGAGGGAUGCGGAAUUCCAGGUGUAGCGGUGAAAUGACGUAGAUAUCUGGAGGAACACCGGUGGCGAAGGCGGCAUCCUGGACCGAGAUUGACGCUGAGGUGCGAAAGCGUGGGGAGCAAACAGGG